GAUGACGGCUGAUUUGGUUGUAAAGUUCUUUCAUCUAAAAUUAUAAUGAUAUUUUUGAAAAAGAAGUCCCGGCAAAUCUCGUGCCAGCAGCCGCGGUAAUACGGGAGGGGCAAGCGUUAUCCGAAAUGACUGGGCGUAAAGGGUUCGUAGACUGUAUUAUAAGUUAUUUGAUAAAAUUUAAAAAUAUUUUUAAGAAAACAAAUAAAACUGUUAUACUAUAGAGUUUUAAACAGAAGAGUGGUAUUUUAUAAGGAGAGAUAAAAUUCAAAGAAAAAUAAAGGAAUAUCAAUAGCGAAGGCAACUCUUUAGUAAAAACUGACGUUGAGGGACGAAAGUAUAGGGAGCAAACAGGAUUAGAUACCCUGGUAGUCUAUACUG
rnacentral:rRNA from 15 species